GCCGGUGUAGCUCAGCUGGUAGAGCAGGUCAUUCGUAAUGAUCAGGUCGCAGGUUCGAACCCCGUCACCGGCU
rfam:Clostridium sp. CAG:306 genomic scaffold, scf66